AGUGAGCGCUGGCGGCGUGCUUAACACAUGCAAGUCGAACGAGAACGGAUUAUAGCUUGCUAUAAUUGUCAGCUAAGUGGCGCACGGGUGAGUAAUGUAUAGGUAAUAUGCCUCUUACUAAGGGAUAACAAAUGGAAACGUUUGCUAAUACCUUAUACUCCUUAUUAACAGAAGUUAAUAAGGGAAAGAUUUAUUGGUAAGAGAUUAGCCUGUAUUGUAUCAGUUAGUUGGUGGGGUAAUGGCUUACCAAGACUAUGACACAUGACUGGUUUGAGAGGAUGAUCAGUCACACUGGAACUGAGACACGGUCCAGACUCCUACGGGAGGCAGCAGUGGGGAAUAUUGCACAAUGGACGAAAGUCUGAUGCAGCAACGCCGCGUGGAGGAUGACACAUUUCGGUGCGUAAACUCCUUUUAUAUGAGAAGAUAAUGACGGUAUUAUAUGAAUAAGCACCGGCUAACUCCGUGCCAGCCGCCGCAGUAACAC
rnacentral:rRNA from 1 species